CAGGGAACAAAGCAGCGGGAAAACAAACAACCAAACAGCAGAGGAGGUUAUUCAGGAUCCUAGUCCUACCCUCCAGAAUACCUUCAAUUCCACCCAACUUGGUAUCGUCUGCAAAUAUUCUAAGGUAAAUGUUUACAACAAAUUAAAGACAAGGGAUUAUGUUUGCUUCCUGGAAGUAGUAAAUAAGAGACAACAUGAAGAAUUCUGGGAGUCUUAAUUGGUUGAAUCACCA